UGGUGGGUAGGAUCGGGGAGCUAGCCCUGCCUCGCACCCUUAACGGGCUACAAAGGGGGUCAGUAACCUCUUGGGUGGCCGGGGGAAGCGUGGCGUAAGGCGCGAAGCCCUCCGGCGAUGUCCUGCCCCGCGGGGCCGGCGGCUGCGUCGCACGCCCUCGUAGGGGGGCGCGCGUGCAUUCGACGGGCGAACCUGGCCAGGCCCGGGAGGGAGCAACCUAAGUCUGAACGUUUGGCGCUCGCGGGAACUCGGGACGGAGGGGGGUGACGCGGACCUGCGUCGCGCCAUCCCGAUUGCCCAUGGGAGCCACCA
rnacentral:SRP_RNA from 1 species